ACACUUACCUGGCAGUGGAGAUACCAUGAUCACCGAGGUGGUUUUCCCAGGGUGAGGUUCAUCUAUUGGACUCCAAUGUGCUGACCCCUGUGAUUCCCACAAAUGGGGGAAUCUCCAUUCUAUAAUUUGUAGCGGUGGGGGCCUGCAUGUGCACUCUCUCC
ensembl:snRNA U1 U1 spliceosomal RNA